UUUUCUGAGACUCACUUCUACUCUUCUUAUACCAUAACUUCUCCUUUUACACGUACAGAUAAACCUUGAUAGAACACUUUCUUGAUUUUCUUUUUCCAUGACAAAUAAAUAGAUGAUAUUCUUUCAGUUACUUUUAUACAUGAAACAAAACUUCAGUGAACAUAGGGCAUCUGGCUUAAAAUUUGUUCCCCUGAUGCAUUUGUAGACAUUUUCCCCAUGCUCUAGCAUUGGUGUGGUGCAGAAGAGGUCCUACCUCAGUUUAAUUAUUCUCCCGUGUCGGGUUACACUUUUUCCCACUCCUAGGCUGGCUGUCUUUCACUUCUCAACACAGUAUAUCCGGGUUGUGUUUUACUCCUCAAAUGUAACCUCUUUCAAUCUUUAGAUUCAAUUCAAUUAUUUUUCUGUUAAUACUUCAUUUCAGUAUAUUUUCUGUUCUAGUUUUCAGAAUUAUUGAUCAAAUUUGGAUCUCUGUGUGCUGUCCUCUAACGUAAUACCUUCUCUGCUGCUGUUUCAUUUGCUUUCUUCUGCAACAUGGCAGAGUGUUUCAAGGUGGGUCACCAAACGUCUAACUAAAUCUUCUACAUUAAUAAGUUUUCUCUGUAUUGUUAUAAUAAGUUUUAAAUUGAUUUUGUAAAAUUUGUGGGUUUUUCAUGUUCAGCUGCAUUUCAUUUUUUUCCUGUUUGUCCAUUCUUUUUCCUCAUCUCUUUGAACAUACUGAUUUAACACUGAAAAGACACAUUGAUAGAAAAGAAUUUUUGAACUGAGUCCAAAGAUUCAAAGAGGUUACAUAUAAACUGUAAAACACCAACAUCUGGAUACGUACUGAUGAAAAAGGAAAGAAGACAAUUUCCUUAUUAUGUCUGUCUUUUGUCUUGGAGUUGUUACUUAAAUUUUGUUAAAAUAAAUUGUGUUCAAUUGCAUUAUUGUCCUCAUUUCUUUGCCUCUUCUUGCAUCUGUUCCCUUGCUAUGGCUUCAUCAUCAUAGAUGGCAUAAAUUCAUUUCAUCUUGUCUCUGGACUUGGCUAUGUGACUUGCUUUGGCUGAUGACAUAUGAGCAAAAGUCACAGUUUGUAUUCCAAGUGCAAGCCUUGAAGACCUCACAUGUACUUGCUUGCUUUCUUUUCUUUCUGCCAGAUCAUGGAAAUAAUAUAACAGUGGGUAGUCUGCUGGUCAGCAGAGCCACCCUAGGUAAUUAAUAGACAUGUGGUGACAAAAAGAGUUUCCAAGUAGAACCCAGCCUAUGUCAAUCAGAUCCUAGUAGAUUCACAGACACAUGAGCAGUAAGAAAACAUUACACUUAUUGGAGUAAUUUGUUGCAUAGCAAUAAGUAACCUAUAUAAUAUGUUUUAAAAUAUUUUCUCUGCGAUGAGGCUUCCUCUUUGAAGACCACAGAUGAAAGGAUUAGAUGCUUUCUCAGAAGCCCAGCAACCUGAUGGGAGUGUGGAGUAAGCCAGACCCAAAUCAGAACUUUAUCCUUACAUGGUUUAUUUUUCUUGUCUGGCAAACCUGCUCUGCAGAAUCUACUCAAGCUUCCUCAGUUUCUCAGAUAAUUCUUGGGCAACAAACGAAGAAGGGAGAAGACAUUUUAUUAGCUGGUGACUGGCUAGCUGAUUUAAUAACCUAGAAGAGAACGUUUAAAAAACACAAACUCUGAAGUUGUUCAUUUUCAAAAAAAAACUUUCCCAAUUGAUUUACCAUUGCCUUACCUUCUUCAGUCAUCUUUGAAGUUGUUACCCUUAUGGUAAGAAGUAUGUAUUCAUAAGGAACCAUAAUGUCCUUCAGGAAAUACAGUACACCCUACAAUUUUAUAUAAAACUUUGCUGUAAUUUUUUUCUGUCCAUUUUACUCUCUGGAGAAAUGGAUCUCAUGCUCUUUGUCAAUUUCUGAAAGUUUUUAUUAAUCUCCCCUCAUCCCCAAAUUGAAGAACCUUGCAUAAAUCAGAAUCAGAACUUUGGCUCCAAUAAUAAAGACUUAAUAUCUUUGUGUGCCAUUGCAUCUCACAUAACGAGAUA